UGGAGGAGCUCAAGAGAAGCUCGAGCUUCGUCGACGACGCGCCGCGGAGCGGAUCGAGCGAGUUUUCGACGAGGUGCUGCUCGCAGGGAGGGUUUGUCGAGAGUUUUGACUCGUAUUCCGCGCAGGAGCAUCGGAACGUGACGCGACUUGAUUCGUUGGAACCGAGACUUCGAGACGAAUCCAUAGGAUCCUUACUCGCCCGAUUUGGAGAAGGAGUGUCGAAACGCGACGAAAUUUGGCGUGCUAGAUUCGCGACUUCGAGACGAAGAUUCUGAGCCCAAGAUCGCGAUUUUUGGAGCAGGUUCCAGCGUCGACGUUUCGUAUUCUGGCCCGUUCUCUGCGUAGGAGCGUCGGAAUUCAGCGAAACCUGGGCCAUUGGAUUCGUGACUUCGAGACGAAGCUUCAGAACCCUUGUUUGCUGAAUUUGGAUAAGCAGGAGAACCGGGGACUUCGACGGACCAGCGAGGGAUCAAUUUGGAUCCGGGCCACUUUCUUCGCUGCCAGGAGUUGCUUGAGAGGGCCUUCUGUUUCGGCUGCUGCUCCUUCUGAGGCGGACCGCGGGAAAGGCGUGGCGAGUUAGAGCCUACCCUUCGAGUACAGUGCUAGAGGACUCCCGCUGCAGGUAGUGACAGUUUUUGUUCGGGCGCUUUUGUACAUACAGUUGAACUCGCUGGAGCGAGUAGUGUUCUUUUGUAUCCGUGGCUGAUGUAGGUAUA